UUUCAUUGAAAGAACGUUCGUGCCUAUUUUUCGAAUAUAUCUUGGCUCUUACCGCAUUUUUAAGAGUGUAAAAAUCUUAUAAAAUAAAAAUGACAUUUGACACUGCCAAAAUUACCUACUUUAUUUUUUUCUAUUACCCUGCUUGGUGCUUUGUUAAUUUGCAAUGGACUAU